rnacentral:rRNA from 1 species
UACGGAGGGUGCAAGCGUUGUCCGGAAUCACUGGGCGUAAAGGGCGCGUAGGCGGCUCAUGAAGGCUGUGGUGAAAGUCCGGGGCUCAACCUCGGAUCGGCCGUGGCGGCUCGUGGGCUGGAGCACUGUAGAGGCGGGUGGAAUUCCGGGUGUAGCGGUGGAAUGCGUAGAGAUCCGGAAGAACACCAGUGGCGAAGGCGGCCCGCUGGGCAGUGGCUGACGCUGAGGCGCGACAGCCGUGGGGAGCAAACAGG